UUUUGCUAAGCUGCUGUGCUGCUAAACUUUUUGAUGUCUCUGUCCAAAAUUGCUGCCAUGUCUGUCAUCUGUUUCUCUCAACAAUCUGUUGUCUCGUCUGACUGUCCUACAAGAAAGCUUUUGUCUGUCUCUGACUGAUGACUGACUUAUAGAAAUUAAAACUUGACUGACAUUAAUUGGACUCAGAAUAACAUUGAAGAAAUGUAAAUAGGCUUUAUUGGACUGACAUAUCAGACAUGUACAGUUUAUUAACUUUACUGGCAGAUUGGCAACGAACACUAAUAUUUAAACUUCAACAAUUAUAAAUUACAAUACUAUUAAAUUCCCAAGGACCAAACAGGCUUGUCAUAAAUGAGGCAAUUUGAGGAUCAAGAUUCAAAUUUUUCUUUUCUUACAAAGAGAACAAAUCCCUGUUUUUCAUAGUGUUGUAGGAUUAAAAUUCCAUCUAACCCCCCACGUCUGUCGCUGGUGGGCUACCAUCUACUGCAGGUUGCAGUUUAACAUCCUUGUCCCCAGAGCCCAAGACACUGAGGGAGGAACCAGCAGAGAUCACUUGGGGCGAUUUUAUGGUAUGUCUCGAGUGCAUUUGUAAUGGUGUUGUAGCAUCAAACUCCCCACACACACACCUUUUCAACAGCGGCUAACUGGUAUCUCUGACGUCCAUUAUUUGUAACCUUCAAAAAUCUACCAUCUACAAUGAGGCCCACUUUAUGCCACGAUUGGCUAGCUUGGCAAGUUAAUUGGGACGACGUUUGAUUCAAUGUCCUGCUUUGUUGCAUGAGAAACUGCUAUUACCUGGUUGUCUAGACUGAGUUCUUCCUCUGCUCCUGAUUCUGUAGCCCCCCGAAGCUUCUCUCUUCUCUUAUUGCAUUUAAAACACAAAAAUUUUGUUUGAAUAAAUCUUAUUUGUAUAAAAUACUUUUCCCCUUGACAUCUUUAAAUCUGUACACUACAUUUCAAUAAAAAUUAGUGUUUGACAUUUAAUACAGUGCUCCUCAUAUUAACCCUCAUGCUUAUAUUGAAUGUCAAUUUCUUUUUUUCUUUUCUGGAAAGUCUGGUUGUGGACAUUCAAGUGCAAACUCUACACGGCCUCAUUUUAUUUAUAUUUUAAUAUUGAAGUGUAGUUAUAUAUCUGUAAAUGAAGAAACCCACAGAGGCAGCAUGGUUUUUAAACUGUCCAACAAGCCAUGCAUUUAUUGUCAGCUUUAUA
rnacentral:lncRNA from 1 species